UCCCGUCCCGAAACUAUCGAAACGCAUAGGUGAAAUGACCCUUUUACCCCUAGUUUGUUUUGUUAUGUUUUUGGUUACUUGGUGUGGUGUUGGCAGGUGCUGGGCCACCCACACACACCCUCAUUGUCCCUAUCCCUCUCUCAGUCUCUUUCCCUGUCUCUCUCUCUCUCCCAAGUCCUCUAUCCUUCUUCUUCUUCCUUCAAACUCGUACGGACACACACACAACUACACUAUUUCACCACAGAUCGAAGGAACUAAGGGCACAGUUGAGAUCGUGAGGUCGUGGGGAGCAAGAUCAUACAAAUAUCAGCUUGUAGAUGUGUUGGUGAGGUCCUAAGGAGCUUGGGAGUGCAUCGUUGGACGGAAUUGGACGUCGGAUUAGCCUGGUUCGAGUUUGACCGGUUUUGGUAAUUGGUGACAGGUGACACGUAUCCCGAGGACGAGCGGGCUCACGCGAGGCAGGGGGGCUACGACCCUUCCACAUACCAGUUCUAGUAGCUUAGCGGGUUCGGUGGUUUUCCCAGAGGGCGUCUCGGCAUUCCUGACAGACACUCACCAGUGUAGGGUCACCUUCGGGUGUACUACCGUCGUAUCUUUUCUUUGGAUUGCUGUAGUCUUUAUGCUCUGAAUUCAGUGUCUUACUUACGCUAGCACUUAUAUUAUCACAUUAUAUAUGCUAGUUUUUAAAUUAUUCGUACUUUUAUAUUA